rnacentral:lncRNA from 1 species
UGUGACCUCCCACGUGCGCACCGCCUCACCUUGAACUCAUACAUGCGGAAAUGAUCGCACGAGAAAGCAUCCACAGCAAAGUCCAAGUCAUCGCUCAACGAAUCAGGCUCAUUUGACGGAAGGUAACGGUGGAGCGCGGUUAAGGAGUCGAGAAAAGGUGAGCUAGUAUUUCCGCAGUUAGCGAAUGGAGAAGGUAACGGUGAUGUUGGCUCGUCGAAAAAAGGGUCCCAGGGAGGGAUUUGGACGGUUGGAUUAGAAUGUGUAGGAGGUUCUCCG